UACGUAGGGUGCGAGCGUUAAUCGGAAUUACUGGGCGUAAAGCGUGAGCAGGCGGCUUUGCAAGACAGAUGUGAAAUCCCCGGGCUCAACCUGGGAACUGCAUUUGUGACUGCAAGGCUAGAGUACGGCAGAGGGGGAUGGAAUUCCGCGUGUAGCAGUGAAAUGCGUAGAUAUGCGGAGGAACACCAAUGGCGAAGGCAAUCCCCUGGGCCUGUACUGACGCUCAUGCACGAAAGCGUGGGGAGCAAACAGG
rnacentral:rRNA from 1 species